GACGAACGCUGGCGGCGUGCUUAACACAUGCAAGUCGAACGGUAAGGCCCUUCGGGGUACACGAGUGGCGAACGGGUGAGUAACACGUGGGUGAUCUGCCCUGCACUUCGGGAUAAGCCUGGGAAACUGGGUCUAAUACCGGAUAGGACCACUGCCUGCAUGGGUGGUGGUGGAAAGCUUUUGCGGUGUGGGAUGGGCCCGCGGCCUAUCAGCUUGUUGGUGGGGUGAUGGCCUACCAAGGCGACGACGGGUAGCCGGCCUGAGGGGGUGACCGGCCACACUGGGACUGAGAUACGGCCCAGACUCCUACGGGAGGCAGCAGUGGGGAAUAUUGCACAAUGGGCGCAAGCCUGAUGCAGCGACGCCGCGUGAGGGAUGACGGCCUUCGGGUUGUAAACCUCUUUCAGCACCGACGAAGCGCAAGUGACGGUAGGUGCAGAAGAAGGACCGGCCAACUACGUGCCAGCCGCCGCUAACA
rnacentral:rRNA from 1 species